CGAAGCACAGAUGUAGAAUUUCUUCGGAAAGGAAGCGCCUGUGACUGAGUGGCGGACGGGUGAGUAACGCGUGGGCAACCUGCCCCAUACCGGGGGACAACAGCUGGAAACGGCUGCUAAUACCGCAUACGUUUUCGGUGCCGCAUGGCGCCGAAAAGAAAACUCCGGUGGUAUGGGAUGGGCCCGCGUCUGAUUAGCUAGUUGGGAGGGUAACGGCCUACCAAGGCGACGAUCAGUAGCCGGCCUGAGAGGGCGACCGGCCACAUUGGGACUGAGACACGGCCCAGACUCCUGCGGGAGGCAGCAGUGGGGAAUAUUGCACAAUGGGGGAAACCCUGAUGCAGCGACGCCGCGUGAGCGAAGAAGUACCUCGGUAUGUAAAGCUCUAUCAGCAGGGAAGAAAGUGACAGUACCUGACUAAGAAGCCCCGGCUAACUACGUGCCAGCAGCCGCGGUAAUACGUAGGGGGCAAGCGUUAUCCGGAUUCACUGGGCGUAAAGGGAGCGUAGGCGGCGCGGCAAGUCUGAUGUGAAAGCCCGGGGCUCAACCCCGGGUCUGCAUUGGAAACUGUCGAGCUAGAGUGUCGGAGGGGUAAGCGGAAUUCCUAGUGUAGCGGUGAAAUGCGUAGUUUUUAGAAGGAACACCAGUGGCGAAGGCCGCUUAC
rnacentral:rRNA from 1 species